UCAGAGGAAGUUGAGUAAAAUUGAUUGUAUGGGUGAACAAGUGUAAAACAAGUCAUGUAUAUACAUGUUAUAUAUUCUGUUCAAAUUCUAUGUUUAUGGUAAAUAUUACUAGGGAUGAUAAAAUGAUCUAAAUCCUCGUAAGGAUAAAUAUAAAAAGUAAGUAGAGGGACUCCCCGCUUAUCGCGGUUUUUAGGAACUAAAGUCCUUUUUUUACUAUUUAAAAAAAUGGUUAGUACCAAGGUUAAUGGAAAUAAAAGGUUAGACCAUCAUGAAAUCGGGCUUGCUAGAAUGUUCAAUUUGAUGUAUCGUACCGAAUGCUGGGCAAAAUAGGGAGAUAUUGACGUCAUUGAGAAUAGAGAGGACAACAAAUACAAAUUUACAAAGGGCAAAAAUUAAAAACUGGGACUACGUUGUGGGCCAAGAGAGAUAAGUUUGGUAUCUUUGGAGUAUGAUAUUAUAUCUUAUUUACAUUUUACAAUAUACAUAUAAUUACUAAUUGAUUAUUAUUAUUACGAUAAUAAUACCUAUUCCCCAUUCCUAAAAAGUAUAAUGUAUUCGCGCAUUGAAACUGCCAGUUGUGCAGUUGCCAUUUUUGAUUCUCCUAACGACAUAAUUUAUCAUCAUUUUCCAAAGGAUCCCUCAAGGAGGAAAAAAUAGGAAAGUGCUUGUCAUCGAAAGGAUCCCUUAGGAAAAUAUCCUAGAAUUUAGGAGAAUCAUUUUGAGGAAGAUGCUUAUAAAAGGGAUUUAAAAGGUGAAUUGCUGGGACUACUUACAAAAAGAAAAUUAAAAGAAGAUACUAUCCCUUCCAGAGGUCUCAUACCUGGAGAAGGAUUUGAGCAAGCUCCAACGAAAUGAAUUUAGAUUGUGCCCCAUUUUGAAGAAGAUUCUAAUGAAAUAUAUUUGGAGACAUUAGACAAAUCAUCUCAAAACAACGUAAAAUCAACUUAAACACUUGUGUUAGAAAAGGUUAGCGUAUCCAAUCAAGGAUGUGUAUCCCAGAUAAUACAAAUUAGUAGAGCUUCUAAUAACAGAAAAGAUCCACUCAUUCCAGAACUCGAGUCACUAAGGAAACAGAAUGCAGAUUUACACGAAAAAGUGAAAAUCCUUCAUCAAAAUAUAGAUUAUUAAAAUCCAAAUCUAAUUUUAAGGAAGCGAUGAAAGGAGAACUGGAAAGAGAUUUACUAAAUCUCAUUGUGAACUCAUUAUCAGUGGGAAGAGGGUUUGAAAAUGGAAUGAGGAGGAUUUUUUUAAUGCACUGAUACUGAAGUCUCUUUCUUCAAAAGCCUACCGUUACAUUCAAUCCAGUGGUCUACCUCUGGUUCCUAGUGUAACAACCCUCAAACGGCGGACUUGAAAUUUAUAUCAAACAGCUCCUGGAAUACAAUCAAAUGUUACUAAAAUUAUCACUCAACAAAUCAAAUCCAACGAAACUCCAAAUGGAAACUUAGCUGUCUUUUGCUUUGAUGAGAUGAAGCUCCAAUAUCAAAAAAGGACUUUGGAUAUGCCUAUGGAGUAAAUUUGGAUAUGCAAAAGGAUAUUCUCAAAAGCAUGAUAAAUGGGAUAGGAACAAUGAAGCAAAUUAAGAGAAAUAAAAAUGGUGAAGUGGCGUUGACUAAGUCAUCUGCUUAGAAGCCAUACCAAAAGGGCAUAAGUAUUCCUUCAAAAUCUUUGAUAUAAUUGUAUCAAUACAUAAAUAAUGAAAUUUGCUUUCCAUAUAUAUUGACAUCUCGUUCAAAUCAAGAUUUUCUUGAAAACCAUUUUUUCAAGAAUAAGAUAUAUUGGACGAAACCACUCUCAUCCUAAUGCGGUAGAGGCCAUGGAUCAAUUUCGGAUACUAGUAAUAAGUGGCUCAGAAAAAAUGGUUGUUGCAGAUCUGAAGGAGACCAAUAUUUUUUUUCUAUGUUUCAACAAACUACAGGUCCUAUUUUGAGCGAAGCAGAUUCGGAAGAUAACAUAGAAUUUUAUCAAUACUUUGAUGAUAUAAUUUAUCCUCAAAUCAUUAAAGGUGAGAUUGAAGAAGAUAUAAAUAAUGAUGAAAAUACAAUAGAACAACCAUCUAAUGAUUUACAUCUUCCUAAAAUCUUUAAAGAUGAAGGAUUUAUUUAUGUUGCUGGAUAUGUGACCAAAUUUGUACCAUAUAUGAUGGAUCGACUCAUCAGCAUAAUUGUGGAAAAGUAUCCUAAGGAAGAAUAUGAAGUUAUA
rnacentral:lncRNA from 1 species